rnacentral:rRNA from 1 species
UACGAGAGGCCCAAACGUUAUUCGGAUUUACUGGGCUUAAAGAGUUCGUAGGCGGCGCAGAAAGUGGGGUGUGAAAGCCCUCGGCUCAACCGAGGAAUUGCGCUCCAAACUACUGUGCUAGAGGAAGCUAGAGGUGAGCAGAACAGAUGGUGGAGCGGUGAAAUGCGUUGAUAUCAUCUGGAAUACCGGAGGCGAAGGCGGCUCACUGGGGCUUUUCUGACGCUGAGGAACGGAAAGCCAGGGUAGCGAACGGG